AAAAAAAUAAAAAAAAAAAUGAACUGUUAACUUUAAAUCUUUUCAGAGCUUUACGAAUAGUUUUUAUAUGAUAUGUGUAUAUACAAAUGUUCUGUAUAUAAAACAUUAAUAGUUCAAUUUUUUAUUCUUUAGAAACAGAUUUUAUGUUCCAAGAAUAUAAUGGAACAAUCUAUGUUUUAUUUACCUGAGGCUAUGCGAAAAACAGUUGUUCCAAUAUUUAAUAGCAAUGAAAUGGCAAAAUGCUUUGUACAUGUUUGUCACAUAGAAUCACCUAGUAAUUUUUUCAUAAGAUUAGAAGAAAAUACAAGAUUUGUUAAUGAACUCAACAAUAUUCCACGAAAUAAACUUAAAGUCCCAGAUUCACUAGAUGCGGGGACUGUAGUUUUGUUUGAGUCUGUAAAAUUUGAUAGAAAACUAACAAGAGGAAAAAUUGUAGCUCCUGUUCAAGUAUCGGGAGGAACAAAAUAUAUCAUUACCGCAAUAGAUAUUGGAACCACAGACAGUGCAAUUAGUUCUGAAAAAAUAUGGGCGUGUGAUAUAGAACUCCCUCCAUUUGCAUUUCCAUGUAGAUUAGAUGCAUGUAAAGCACCAAAUGGGGAUAUUUGGAAUGAAUCCAGUAUUAAUGGAUUUAAGUCCCUUGUGUCUGGUACACCACAAAUGACAUAUGUUACCACUGUAGAAGACCAAUUGGUGGUUAAUUUUCUUGCAGGUCACAAUAUGGUGAGCGAGUUGAUGAUAAUGUGUGGUUGGGCCCAAAUGAUACCUUCUUUUGGUACAAAGAACGAAUGUAAUUUGAGAUGAGGUUUAUGUUUUUUUAUUAAUUUGUCAAAAUAUUUCUGAGAGUGACAGACAAUUUUUUUGCUUUCACAUUUAAAAAAGGACUGAUUAAGUUAUUAUAAGAAUUUUUGUGUAUAAUACCAUUAGUAUAAGUAUUAAAUCUUAAUAGUAGUAUAGAACUAAUAUACUACUAACUAUAUAAUAUAAUUAAUAUUUGUAAAAAUUCAACAAUUUGUGACUUAUUUGAAAAGUAGUUGAUUUUGGUUACCCUGUCAUAUUUUUUAAUAUUGAACUACUGAUGAUGAGUGGAUGGGAAACUUUCAAUUAUCACAAGGAUACCUGCAGCACUUAAGCAAAAUAGCAUACAAAGCUUCACAUAAAAUGGUGGUGCUAUGAGUAUAAAUAGAAAUUGGUGCCUUCACAGCCUUACUAAUUGAUUUAAAAAGACUAGUGGUCAUUUAUUUAUAAAAAUAUUUAGAAAAUAAAUAUAGCCUAUAUUAUUCAUUUAUGAUGUAGCACUUAAAUUAAUAAAGAAUUCUAGAAAUCUCUCCAGUUAUUUUAAAGUUUAUUCAAUGCAAACAAUAUUUCCUCUUUAUAAUAUUACUAAUGAAAUUUGUCUGUAGUCCAUUAAAAUAUGACUAUGAAAUGUUUGUAGUAGUGUUAAGGGUUUUAAUAUGAUAUUUGUGUUUACAUUUUGCAUAAAGGGUAAGUUCUCGCAUGAACUGUUAUUGUUACAUUAGUGCGCAUCUAACUCAUUCCAUUUAAUGAAAUAGUAUUCAAAACGUUUGUAAAAAUGAACAUUUUGGGAAUGCAAAAAAAAAACAAACAAAUUUGUCUUUCACCAACAGGUAUAAUAAGAAAAUAAAUGCACUUUACAUAA